GACGAACGCUGGCGGCGUGCUUAACACAUGCAAGUCGAACGGAAAGGCCCUGCUUUUGUGGGGUGCUCGAGUGGCGAACGGGUGAGUAACACGUGAGUAACCUGCCCUUGACUUUGGGAUAACUUCAGGAAACUGGGGCUCAUACCGGAUAGGAGCUCCUGCUGCAUGGUGGGGGUUGGAAAGUUUCGGCGGUUGGGGAUGGACUCGCGGCUUAUCAGCUUGUUGGUGGGGUAGUGGCUUACCAAGGCUUUGACGGGUAGCCGGCCUGAGAGGGUGACCGGCCACAUUGGUACUGAGAUACGGCCCAGACUCCUACGGGAGGCAGCAGUGGGGAAUAUUGCACAAUGGGCGGAAGCCUGAUGCAGCAACGCCGCGUGCGGGAUGACGGCCUUCGGGUUGUAAACCGCUUUCGCCUGUGACGAAGCGUGAGUGACGGUAAUGGGUAAAGAAGCACCGGCUAACUACGUG
rnacentral:rRNA from 1 species